UGUUAGCAUUUUUGGCAGCGCAUUAAAUAUUCGGUUUUGAUUAUAUUUUACUGUUUCUAAGUCUGCCCGGUUAUGCCGAACAAGAUCACAAUCAAAGAACUGGAAGAUCCGAGAAGUCAUCAGAUCCGGCGGAACAAAUGUGAAAACCGGUGGUAUAGCCCUCGUCCAGCAGUGGAAAAUGUUGUUCCGCAAUCGCAAUGGAGCAGUAAGUGGCAAAAAAAAGAGCCGCUCCUCUAUAGUUCUAAUCACAAUGAUGUGCUAUGAAAUUGGGUUCCAGAAAAGAUAACACCCGUUUAUAUAUGAGCAACACAUUAAGGAACGGCAGCUCCAAAUGAAUGGAUCCUAUUCGUGAACAGCCGGAGCUGUUCCGGAAAAUUUUCAGUUAGGGGGAAUUUCGAUUGAGAUUCGAUUUUUUUCCGACGACCGGCUAGAUGGUCACACACAAGAAAGUCAUUCUAAACUGCCGGAACAAAACAAAUUGGAAUAUUUACAUUUUCGUCGACACUAAUAGAAGUUUCAUAGUGAGCCGGAUACAAAAAGCCCUAAUUCGCCCGGAGUUGGGAUUUUUGUCCUUCAACAUGUUAUGAAUCAAUUA